GCCGGAUUAGCUAGUUGGCGGGGUAAUGGCCCACCAAGGCGACGAUCCGUAGCUGGUCUGAGAGGAUGAUCAGCCACACUGGAACUGAGACACGGUCCAGACUCCUACGGGAGGCAGCAGUGGGGAAUAUUGGACAAUGGGCGCAAGCCUGAUCCAGCCAUGCCGCGUGAGUGAAGAAGGCCUUCGGGUUGUAAAGCUCUUUUGUUGGGGAAGAAAAGCAUUCGGUUAAUACCCGGGUGUUCUGACGGUACCCAAAGAAUAAGCACCGGCUAACUUCGUGCCAGCAGCCGCGGUAAUACGAAGGGUGCAAGCGUUACUCGGAAUUACUGGGCGUAAAGCGUGCGUAGGUGGUUUUCUUAAGUCUGAUGUGAAAGCCCUGGGCUCAACCUGGGAACUGCAUCUGGAUACUGGCGAUCUGGAGUGCGGUAGAGGGUGGCGGAAAUUUCCCGGGUGUAGCAGUGAAAUGCGUAGAUAUCGGGAGGAACAUCCGUGGCGAAGGCGGCCACCUGG
rnacentral:rRNA from 1 species